AAAACAAAAACAAAAAAACCAAAAAAAAAAAGAGUUGUUGUUGCCGUAGUUUGAAGAAAAAGAAACACCCUUCUUAUGAAGGGGUUCUUUUUUUUUUGGUCUUGAAUCAUAUGACUCUCGUCUUGUUGCUUUUCUCCUUCGUUGGCACAGUUUUUCUCCCUGCUGCUAAUGAUGAUGAGCAGCAGCGAAUGGUAGAUCUGUAGGCCUGCA
rnacentral:ribozyme from 11 species